UACGUAGGGUGCGAGCGUUAAUCGGAAUUACUGGGCGUAAAGCGUGCGCAGGCGGUUUUGUAAGCCAGAUGUGAAAUCCCCGGGCUUAACCUGGGAAUGGCAUUUGGGACUGCAAGGCUUGAGUGCGGGCAGAGGAGACUGGAAUUCCUGGUGUAGCAGUGAAAUGCGUAGAUAUCAGGAGGAAUACCGAUGGCGAAGGCAGGUCUCUGGGCUGACACGUGACGCUCAUGCACGAAAGCGUGGGGAGCGGAUCCGG
rnacentral:rRNA from 1 species